rnacentral:tRNA from 1 species
GCCACCGUAGCUCAGGGGUAGAGCACACCCAUGGUAAGGGUGGGGUCGAGGGUUCAAUUCCCUCCGGUGGCUCCA